rnacentral:lncRNA from 1 species
GCCCGCCGCCCGCCGCGGCUGGGAGUCCGGAGGUUUCAUCUUGUGAUGGUUUCGGUUCGGCUCUCAAAUGGAGGAUGGCUACGUUGAAGACAGCUGGGGCUGCCGCACGCCUCGGGGUUACUGUCGGGCACCCGGCGGGCGGGGCCGGCGCUGGGGCGGGGGAGGGCUUCCUCGCCCUCAGAAACCACAUUCGCAGAAACGUUUUUAACUGGCAAGGUUUCGAGUUCCCAACCACAGCACCCUCAGUGAUGGUUUUCAGAAGACCUUG